rfam:Hordeum vulgare subsp. vulgare, WGS project CAJW01000000 data, contig: morex_contig_274788
UGACUACUCCCUCUGUCCGGAAAUACUUGUCUUAGGAAUGAAUGUAUCUAGAUAUAUUUUAGUUCUAGAUACAUCCAUUUUUAUACAUUUGUGCGACAAGUAAUUCUGGACGGAGGAAGUACUUU